rnacentral:rRNA from 1 species
UUAAGUUAGAAAGGGCGCACGGUGGAUGCCUUGACACUAGGAGUCGAUGAAGGACGGGACUAACGCCGAUAUGCUUCGGGGAGCUGUAAGUAAGCUUUGAUCCGAAGAUUUCCGAAUGGGGAAACCCACCAUACGUAAUGGUAUGGUAUCCUUAUCUGAAUACAUAGGGUAAGGAAGACAGACCCAGGGAACUGAAACAUCUAAGUACCUGGAGGAAGAGAAAGCAAAUGCGAUUUCCUGAGUAGCGGCGAGCGAAACGGAACAUAGCCCAAACCAAGAGGCUUGCCUCUUGGGGUUGUAGGACAUUCUAUACGGAGUUACAAAGGAACGAGGUAGACGAAGCGACCUGGAAAGGUCCGUCGUAGAGGGUAACAACCCCGUAGUCGAAACUUCGUUCUCUCUUGAAUGUAUCCUGAGUACGGCGGAACACGUGAAAUUCCGUCGGAAUCUGGGAGGACCAUCUCCCAAGGCUAAAUACUCCCUAGUGAUCGAUAGUGAACCAGUACCGUGAGGGAAAGGUGAAAAGCACCCCGGAAGGGGAGUGAAAGAGAUCCUGAAACCGUGUGCCUACAAAUAGUCAGAGCCCGUUAACGGGUGAUGGCGUGCCUUUUGUAGAAUGAACCGGCGAGUUACGAUCCCGUGCGAGGUUAAGCUGAAGAGGCGGAGCCGCAGCGAAAGCGAGUCUGAAUAGGGCGUUUAGUACGUGGUCGUAGACCCGAAACCAGGUGAUCUACCCAUGUCCAGGGUGAAGUUCAGGUAACACUGAAUGGAGGCCCGAACCCACGCACGUUGAAAAGUGCGGGGAUGAGGUGUGGGUAGCGGAGAAAUUCCAAUCGAACCUGGAGAUAGCUGGUUCUCCCCGAAAUAGCUUUAGGGCUAGCCUUAAGUGUAAGAGUCUUGGAGGUAGAGCACUGAUUGGACUAGGGGUCCUCAUCGGAUUACCGAAUUCAGUCAAACUCCGAAUGCCAAUGACUUAUCCUUAGGAGUCAGACUGCGAGUGAUAAGAUCCGUAGUCAAAAGGGAAACAGCCCAGACCGCCAGCUAAGGUCCCAAAGUGUGUAUUAAGUGGAAAAGGAUGUGGAGUUGCUUAGACAACUAGGAUGUUGGCUUAGAAGCAGCCACCAUUUAAAGAGUGCGUAAUAGCUCACUAGUCGAGUGACUCUGCGCCGAAAAUGUACCGGGGCUAAAUACACCACCGAAGCUGCGGAUUGAUACCAAUGGUAUCAGUGGUAGGGGAGCGUUCUAAGGACAGUGAAGUCAGACCGGAAGGACUGGUGGAGUGCUUAGAAGUGAGAAUGCCGGUAUGAGUAGCGAAAGACGGGUGAGAAUCCCGUCCACCGAAUGCCUAAGGUUUCCUGAGGAAGGCUCGUCCGCUCAGGGUUAGUCAGGACCUAAGCCGAGGCCGACAGGCGUAGGCGAUGGACAACAGGUUGAUAUUCCUGUACCACCUCUUUAUCGUUUGAGCAAUGGAGGGACGCAGAAGGAUAGAAGAAGCGUGCGAUUGGUUGUGCACGUCCAAGCAGUUAGGCUGAUAAGUAGGCAAAUCCGCUUAUCGUGAAGGCUGAGCUGUGAUGGGGAAGCUCCUUAUGGAGCGAAGUCUUUGAUUCCCCGCUGCCAAGAAAAGCUUCUAGCGAGAUAAAAGGUGCCUGUACCGCAAACCGACACAGGUAGGCGAGGAGAGAAUCCUAAGGUGUGCGAGAGAACUCUGGUUAAGGAACUCGGCAAAAUGACCCCGUAACUUCGGGAGAAGGGGUGCUUUCUUAACGGAAAGCCGCAGUGAAUAGGCCCAAGCGACUGUUUAGCAAAAACACAGCUCUCUGCGAAGCCGUAAGGCGAAGUAUAGGGGGUGACACCUGCCCGGUGCUGGAAGGUUAAGGAGAGGGGUUAGCGUAAGCGAAGCUCUGAACUGAAGCCCCAGUAAACGGCGGCCGUAACUAUAACGGUCCUAAGGUAGCGAAAUUCCUUGUCGGGUAAGUUCCGACCCGCACGAAAGGUGUAACGAUUUGGGCACUGUCUCAACCAGAGACUCGGUGAAAUUAUAGUACCUGUG